rnacentral:lncRNA from 1 species
AAGCAUAUCCCGGCUGACACCUGAAGGACGCAGCUUAACCGCUCAGCCCCUAGCGGGUCCUGCUGGGCGUACCUUCGACACCUGGGCAGACAGAGAUCCCCCCCAUGAUGCCUAUUUUAUCCUGAUAUCGUCCAACUGCUGAGAGUGGGGGUGGACAGCGUGAUUUACCUCUGCCAAAUGCAGAAGAUUUGGAAGGCAUCUUGGGACCCUUCUCCAUUCCUAGAUUUCCUGAUGGAUGGUGCUGAAGAUUCUUUUCCAUCAUAGGUUAUUACAAAGAUAUUGAAUAUAGUUCCCUCUACUAUACAUGAACUAGCUGGGACAAAUUCUCUUGCCGAAAGUGGAGCUGCAAAGGCACAAGAGAGCAAGUGGAAAUGCACAGGUGCUUUUCCAGCCCCUGCUUGUUCCUGUCUGUUAACAUUCCAUUGGCCAAGGGACAUCUCUUCUCCACAUGGAAUGAGUAAGGUGAAGAGGAAUAGGAGAAUGAAUGAAACUUGGUAAGGGAAGAUGGAAACCCAAGAUGAAAUGAUGAUAGAAUGUGGAAGAAUCCAGAGCUGCUCCAAGUGAGUUCAAACCCCCAGCUUCAAGAAAUAACCUCUUCGGGCCCCAACAAAAGUUCACCAAACAAUUGUCAGUGAUUUGGGAGGACAUCACUGAGAAUAGGAGAGAUAUCAGAAGAUGGGAGACAGUGGGAUAUCCCAAUUUUCAGAAAGAGAAUGAAGGCAGAGCCAGAAAAAUUGUAGACAAUUGUCUGUAACUUCAAUCUCAGGCAAAACACCAGAACGAGUUGCUAGAGGAACAGUUUCAGGUACAAGAUGAAGUAAUGAUUGACUCAGAAUGAGUUCACUAAGGACAAGUCAAGGCUGUUUAUCUCUUUUCUUCUUUGACAGAGUCACUCAUCCAAGAGCUCUGAGAAUGCCCAUGUACAGAGAGUAUUUCAUCAUUGGUUAGACAUUUAUGAGGUUUUUCAUGGUGUUCUUUUGGACAAGAUUGGGAAAUAUGAACUGGACUCUGGCAUACUUGAUGAAUUAGUAACCAGUUGAUUAUAUGCACAAGGUGCUGACUAACACAUUGAUAUCAAACUGUGAGGUAUAUAAUGAUGAGUAAGGAAGUAUAUAAGGAAGCAUAUAAUGAUGAGUCCUAGAGCUGUGUCCAUUUUUCCAUCAUAAAUGCUUUCAGAAUAGAAAUACAUAAGGUGUGCUCAUUAAAUUUAUAGGUAACCUGAAGUUGGAGAUAUAAUGAAGACUUACUUGGAUGACAGAAUCAGAAUCAGUGAGCUGAAUCUAAAAGGAUGAGAUUUGAAAGUUAUUAAUAGGAGGUGUGAGGAACUAAUUAUAUCAGUAAGAAUGGGUUAUACUUGCUUUAGCAGAAACUAAGAACCUUGGCCCAAUUUGAGCCAGAAGUGUAAUGUGGUUGCCAAAAACCCUCAAGAUUUUAGGCUUUUCCAUCACACAAAUACAAUUAAUGUAAAUAACCUUAAGAGAGUAGAUAAUAGAGAUAUAUAGUAAAAUAAUUAGGAAGUGAUGUUUUAAGUAUUUUUUACCUUUGUUUUUGAUAUAAUAUAUAUAAGUUGAUAUAAUUUAGCUUUUAAUUAUGGCUGCAUUUAACAGUUGGCCCACACAGUUCUUAAAAAUUUAAUGCUCAGCUCUUGGAACUUUGUGCAUCCAGGCUCCAGGCCAUAGGAACAAAAAAUGUGGUAACUGGAACAAGGGAGGUAAUAGCCCUGUUGUUCUCUGCAAUUGUCAGACCACGCCCGGAUCACUUCAUUCCAGAGCACAUGACUUACAAGUCAAACUGUUCUGAGAUCAGAGCCGAGCAGCCAAGGUGGCAGGAAACCAAAGCCCUAUGGGUGUGGAACUGUGUACAGAAUUAGGGCUGGAGCUCAAAGGGUUUAGGACCAGAGGGACAGGUAAAUGCCUAUUUUCAAAUACCUGGGGGACUAUUGCCUGAGGAAGGGCUGGGCCUACAAUCUGUAAGUGGAAGAAAGGUACAGGGAGACAGGUUUCUGCUCAGGGUAAGAAAGAACUUUCAAAGCUAUCACAAGAGGAAUGGGCUGAAAGUAAUCCUGCAACAGCAUUUAGGUACAAUGUAGAGAUGGUUCAAGUCUCAGAGGAGGUAAUAGGGCCUCACCCAAGUCCCUGUCUUCCUGAAUCUUGAUCCACCGCUCUUUCUAGGCCAGCUCUUAUUAGAAGGGUAGUAAAGUGCGGUUAAAAAAACCUAUUUUUUUUAAUUAAGGAAACUUUCAAAAAUGAAAAAGUAGGGAGUUCCCUUCAUGGCUCAGCAGUUAACAAACCCGACUUGGAUCCAUGAGGACUCAGGUUCGAUCCCCGGCCUGGCUCAGUGCUUUAAUGAUCCGGUGGUGUGGUGCCAUGAGCUGUGGUGUAGACUGAAGAUGCAGCUCAGACCCGGCAUUGCUGUGGCUGUGGUGUAGGCCGGCAGCUGUAGCUCCGAUUCGACCCCCAGCCUGGGGACUUUCAUAUACUGCAGGUGCAGCC